rnacentral:rRNA from 1 species
AGUGAACGCUGGCGGUAGGCCUAACACAUGCAAGUCGAACGGCAGCACAGUAAGAGCUUGCUCUUACGGGUGGCGAGUGGUGGACGGGUGAGGAAUACAUCGGAAUCUACUUUUUCGUGGGGGAUAACGUAGGGAAACUUACGCUAAUACCGCAUACGACCUACGGGUGAAAGCAGUGGAUCUUCGGACCUUGCGCGAUUGAAUUAGCCGAUGUCGGAUUAGCUAGUUGGCGGGGUAAUGGCCCACCAAGGCGACGAUCCGUAGCUGGUCUGAGAGGAUGAUCAGCCACACUGGAACUGAGACACGGUCCAGACUCCUACGGGAGGCAGCAGUGGGGAAUAUUGGACAAUGGGCGCAAGCCUGAUCCAGCCAUACCGCGAGGGUGAAGAAGGCCUUCGGGUUGUAAAGCCCUUUUGUUGGGAAAGAAAAGCAGCAGGUUAAUACCCCGCUGUUCUGACGGUACCCAAAGAAUAAGCACCGGCUAACUUCGUG